AACGAACGCUGGCGGCAGGCUUAACACAUGCCAGUCGAGCGCCCCGCAAGGGGAGCGGCCGACGGGUGAGUACCGCGUGGGAACGUACCUUUUGGUUCGGAACAACUCCGGGAAACUGGAGCUAAUACCGGAUAAGCCCUAACGGGGAAAGAUUUAUCGCCGAAAGAUCGGCCCGCGUCUGAUUAGCUAGUUGGUGAGGUAACGGCUCACCAAGGCGACGAUCAGUAGCUGGUCUGAGAGGAUGAUCAGCCACACUGGGACUGAGACACGGCCCAGACUCCUACGGGAGGCAGCAGUGGGGAAUAUUGGACAAUGGGCGCAAGCCUGAUCCAGCCAUGCCGCGUGAGUGAUGAAGGCCUUAGGGUUGUAAAGCUCUUUUGUCCGGGAAGAUAAUGACUGUACCGGAAGAAUAAGCCCCGGCUAACUUCGUG
rnacentral:rRNA from 1 species